CAGCAUGUCUCCAAGGGCUGAGGCUGCUUGUAGCCGUGGGAUCUCUGUUGGCAUGAGGGAGGCCGCCCGCCCGGAGAGACCCCGACAGCUCAGGGCAGCGCAGUGCCUGCAGAGGCCGCUCGCCUUCCCUGCGCUC